GACAAUAGAAAUAAUGUUCAAACUGUUUCGAAAAAAAUAGUAAAAAAACAAAGAAAAAGAUAAAUAUAGAAGAAUCAAGGCCACCAAAUUUACAUUGUAGCUUAAAGUAAUUAUUCCCCUCAAGUAUUCGAGGUUAAUGAAAUACAUCCUCCUAGAAUGAUUCACUUUACUAGAAUAGUGAUACUUCAAAUUCGCUGAACUUCAAACUCGCUCAAUGAUAGUAAAUCACACAAGAAAAGUUUAAAAGUGCAAAAAGAAAAAAGAUAGAAAUUCAGAAAAUUCGUAUAGAAAAUAUGAGGAUUCAACAGGUAUAUAUAGCCAUCAGGGUGUUGCUUCAAAAGAGAAGCAAUGGUUCAAAAAAAAAAAAUGCAUCUCUUCAUAGAGGUGCAACUCCUUAAAACAAAUAAAAAUACAAAUCUUCAAAAAAGUCACAACUGAUUGAAAAAAUCGUAACUAUCCAAAGUAAAAAAGUAUCUAUUCUAAAUACAUCUUUUCUCUUGAUAUUUUAUCGAAAAAACUCAUAUUCACUUUCCAUUCACACCUCUUAAAUAUCUAAUAAUGUCUUUAUAAUUAUUCUUCUUUGUUGGCUAGUUAGAAUUUAGAUCAAUCCCUAUUAUAUUUUGCUUUUGGUGAACAAAUCUUUAUCAUCUAUACAUUUUCCAUCACCUUUAACCUCAUUACUAAAAGAACUAUUAUAUCAAAAUUCAAGGUCCACGUCUUCAUUCAUUUAUAAUAACUAGUUUAGGUGUACGCGCUUCGCCUCAUUUUAUUGAGUUCAAACGUUACACUAAAUAGGAUAUUUAUUUAAAUAAUAAAGAUGAAUACGAUAAUUAAAUUCAACAUCUUUUGGAGAAUUUAUUUAAUUAAACCUAACUUUUACCAAAGAAAAUUCUCAAAGCCGAUCGACAUUCAUUUACUACCUAUAAACUGUAACAAAACAAUAUGAUGAUAGAGACAUCAAAACAAUAUAUUAAAUCUAACUUUUACACAAAAAUUUUCUCAAAGUCGUCUGACACUCAUCUAGCACCUGUAAACUGUACAAAAUAAUAAGACAAUAGAGAUAUCAAAAUAAUACAACUAAUUUUAUCUUUACUCAAAAAGAAUUCUCAAAACAGAGAUAUAAAAAUAAUACAAUUAAACCUAACCUUUACCUAAAAUAAUUUCUUAAAGUCAACCGACAUUUUUUUUUAAAUUAAAAGAGUCGACCGACAUUCAUCUACCACCUGUAAAUUACCUGUAAACUUCAACAAAAUAAUACAACAAUGAUCACGAAGCUUCAGUUUUAAUGAAAAUAAUUCUUGUCUGAGCAAAAAUUUUGACACUAAAGAAUGAGUUGAAUGAAAAUAAAGAAGACAUAUAUAUACACACACGUUGAAUUCUAUUAUAUUGACAAAAAUAGUGAAGAAGUUGACGGUUAGAAAAUUAAGCAUCCAUCAAUCUAGACAUGCAACUGAAUCAAGUUAGAUGAGCAUCAAUCAUAUUUUCACAAUAAGUAAAUCAGUUUUUUCUCUAGUUUAACGUUCAUCUCAAUAUUUAUAGAAUUAUUUUCUUAAUAGAGUCCUAUUUUAUGAGUAUUUAUCUAUCCUAUUUUAGGAGUAUUUCUCUAAUGAAAAUAUUAAUUGAUUCUCCUUCCAUAUGUUUUAAGAAUCCUAUUUUAGGAGUUUAGUUAAUAUAAUAAAAAUAAUUAAAUAAUAAAUUGAAGAAAAUAGUGAAAAGAUAGUUUUGUCUAAAGGAGGGUCUUUUAAUGAAGGACCUUUUAAUAUAUUAUAUAGAUUAUAGAUAUAGAUAUAGAUUAUAGAUAUAGAUUAUAGAUAUAGAUAUAGAUUAUUAAUAUUAAUAAUUAUUAUUAUAUACUAUAUUAUAUUAAACGUUAGGAUAUUUGUUUAAAUAAUAAAGAUGAAUACGAUAAAUAAAUUCAACAGUUUUUGGAGAGUUUAAUUAAUUAAACCUAACUUUUACAAAAAAAAAAUAAUUCUCAAAGCCGAUCGACAUUCAUCUCCAACCUGUAAACUGCAACAAAAUAAUACGAUGAUAGAGAUAUAAAAACAAUAUAAUUAAAUCUAACCUUACACAAAAAUUUUCUCAAAGCCGUCUGACACUCAUCUACCACCUGUAAACUAUAACAAAAUAAUAAGACAAUAUAUCAAAAUAAUACAACUAAACUCUACCUUUACACAAAAAAAAAAUUCUCAAAACAGAGAUAUAAAAAUAAUACAAUUAAGCCUAACCUUUACCCAAAAAAAAAUUCAAAGCCGACCGACAUUCAUCUACCACCACCUGUAAAUUAUCUACGACAUGUAAACUAUAACAAAUUAAUACAAUAGUGAUCACAAAACUUCAGUUUUGAUGAAAUAAUUCUUGUCUGAGCGAAAAUUUUGACACUAAAGAAUGAUUUAAAUGAAAACAAAAAAGAUAUAUAUAUAUACACACACACGUUGAAUUCCAUUAUGUUGACAAAAAUAGUGAAGAAGUUGAGGGUUAGAAAAUUAAACAUCCAUCAAUCUAGACAUGCAACCGAAUCAAGUUAGAUGAGCAUGAGUCAUGUUUUCCCAAUAAGUAAAUCAGUUUCUUCUCUAAUUUAACGUGCAUCUUAAUAUUUAUAGAAGUAGUUUCUUAAUAGAGUCCUAUUUUAGGAGUAUUUUUCUAUCCUAUUUUAGGAAUAUUUUUCUAAUUGAUCAGUACAAAAAAAAUAGUAAUUGAUUCUAUUUCUAUAUUUUUUAGGAGUGUAAUUAAUAUAAUACUACUAAACUUUACCAAAGAUAUUUUUCAACUGCCUUAGUCUUGUUCAUAAAAGAGCAAUUUGACAAAAAUCCAAGGUCUAUCUAUAUGUUCAUUCAGUACUUAUGACUUAUAAUAAUAUGGGAAAAAGUAUCGUUUCCACCUUAAACUAUAUCCGAAAAGUCUAAGUCAUACCUAAACUAUACUAGUGACCUAUUACACAUCUUAACUAUAAAAAAGUGAUAUUAUUACCUCCCCGCAACCCCCAUUCUAAGGCGCGUGUGUUACACUUAUUUUAGGCGCGUCCAACCUAUUAAAUAACAAAAGUAAACGGCUAAAAACAUUAAGGGAAAAGUCAUCGUUUCCACCCCAAACUAUAGUCGAAAAUUCGAAUCCACACCUAAACUAUAUAAGUGACCUAUUACACACCUUAACUAUAAAAAAGUGAUACUUUUUACUGACGUGCUACCGACGUGGCAGCGCAUGUAAAACACUACACCACAUGCAAGUGGUGGUAGCCUGACAGGGUGUAAAUAGUUUCACUUUUUUAUAGUUUAGGUGUGUAAUAGGUCACUAGUAUAGUUUAGGUGUGGCUUCGACUUUUCGGAUAUAGUUUUGGGGUGGAAACUAUGUCUUUUCCCUAAUAAUAUUGUUCAAAACCUAGACAUGUCUUAGCUAGGUUUAGUUUUUUGUUUAUAUUAAUUGAAGUAAUUUAAUGUGUCUUUGUUAGCCUCCUUUGUUGGUUAACUAAAUCAAAAUUCUCUAUUAUACUUUUCUUAAUUUUGAUAUAUAUGUGUAAGUCUUUAUUUUCUAUAUAUUUUCCACCGUCCUAAUUUAUCUUGUUGUUCCUAAAAGAGCUAUAUAUAUAUAUAUGAUAAAAAUCCAAGGUUCAUCUUCAUUGGCCAAUAAAAAUUAUUGGUAAAAACCAAGCAAUGCAAGUGGUUGCGUCAAUUGCAUUACUACUACCUUCUGCUUUUUAACAUCUUUAGACGUAUUUAAACUACUAAUUCAAAAAAGCUGCCUUACUAUAAGUUUAGCCAAUAAUUAACGGGCGUACGUCAUGCACCUAUGUAUAUAUAGUUAAUAAUUUUAAUAGUCAUGCAUAUAUAACAGACCAAAACUUACCAACUUGAGUUGCAAUACGAUGGUGGGGAUCCUUUCCAUUCUUUAUGAACACAAAUAAUUACCAUGUAUCGUUGUGUGUAAGGAUCAUUUGAAGUUAAUUACCUAAAUAAUUACUUAACUAUCCAAAUGUUGAUAAUUUAGAGGAAAAAAUAGAUAUUUGGGUGAUUGAAUGACCUUCUGACUAGUUAAGUAAUGGCUUCAAAUCUUUUGUUACUCGAAUUUGAAGAAAAUCAUUAAUGAGCUGAUAUAAUUAAGUUUAUAUUUUCCUUCACAUAUGUUUUAUUAAUUAAUUCAAACAUAAUUUACAAACUUGGGAGAAAAUUACAAAGACCUAUGUAACUACUACUUACAUGUCUUAAGGAAGAAGUGAGGCCCUUUCGGGGGUCCCCUGAAGACUUGACAGAUACCGAAAAAUGAAGAAUUAAGAAAACUUUUCACACUUUUCAUACACUUUUUUUUUUAAGUAACUUGCAAACUUUGGAAACUAAGAACUUUAAGAAAAGCUAAGAACUUUAUGAAAACUUUCUCACUCUUGGUUUUUUCUCUCUCUUUGGUACACC
rnacentral:lncRNA from 1 species